rnacentral:rRNA from 1 species
UUUAGUUCACUUGAGCGAAAACGUCCAAGUUACUGGAUAACUGUGGCAAUUCUAGAGCUAAUACAUGCAACCGAGUCCCGACCAGUGAUGGGAAGGACGCUUUUAUUAGAUCAAAAUCAAUCGGGGCCGGCCACCGCGCCGCCCCGUUCGACUUGAUGACUCUGAAUAACACACAGCUGAUCGCACGGUCUCCGCGCCGGCGACUCAUCUUUCAAAUGCCUGACUUAUCAACUGUCGAUGGUAGGCUCUACGUCUACCAUGGUUGUAACGGGUGACGGGGAAUCAGGGUUCGAUUCCGGAGAGGGAGCCUGAGAAACGGCUACCACAUCCAAGGAAGGCAGCAGGCACGCAAAUUACCCACUCCCGGCACGGGGAGGUAGUGACAAAAAAUAACGAUACGGGACUCAUCCGAGGCCCCGUAAUCGGAAUGAGCACACUCUAAAUCAUUUAACAAGUACCUAUUGGAGGGCAAGUCUGGUGCCAGCAGCCGCGGUAAUUCCAGCUCCAAUGGCGUAUAUUAAAGUUGUUGCGGUUAAAAAGCUCGUAGUUGGUCCUGCGUCCCACGCUGUCGGUUCACCGCCUGUCGGUGCAACUGGCACGCCGUGGGAUGUCCUGUCGGUGGCGGCCGCGGCCCGGGACGGCGGGGCCCAGGACCCGGAACGGGCCCGAAGCUCCACGGCCCGGGAACCGCCGGUCGCCUAACCUAAUCCCGCCGCGGUGCUCUUAGCUGAGUGUCGGAGCGGGCCGACACGUUUACUUUGAACAAAUUAGAGUGCUCAAAGCAGGCUGAACUCAGCCUGAAUAGUGGUGCAUGGAAUAAUUGAAUAGGACCUCGGUUCUAUUUUGUUGGUUUUCGGAAUCCGAGGUAAUGAUCAAUAUGGACAGGCGGGGGCAUUCGUAUUGCGGCGUUAGAGGUGAAAUUCUUGGAUC